GCAUUGAUAGUGUAGGGGUAUCAUGAGUCGUUGCCAAACUCAUCAUCUGCUUCAUGCGAUGUGACUACCGAUUCGACUCGACCGGGGUUCGAGUCCCCGUCAAUGCA